rnacentral:rRNA from 1 species
UACAGAGGGGCAAGCGUUGUUCGGAAUUACUGGGCGUAAAGGGCGCGUAGGCGGCCUUCUAAGUCGAACGUGAAAUCCCCGGGCUCAACCCGGGAACUGCGUCCGAUACUGGAAGGCUUGAAUCCGGGAGAGGGAUGUGGAAUUCCAGGUGUAGCGGUGAAAUGCGUAGAUAUCUGGAGGAACACCGGUGGCGAAGGCGACAUCCUGGACCGGUAUUGACGCUGAGGCGCGAAAGCCAGGGGAGCAAAGCGGG